rnacentral:rRNA from 1 species
GUGGGGAAUAUUGGACAAUGGGCGAAAGCCUGAUCCAGCCAUGCCGCGUGUGUGAAGAAGGUCUUCGGAUUGUAAAGCACUUUAAGUUGGGAGGAAGGGCAGUAAGUUAAUACCUUGCUGUUUUGACGUUACCGACAGAAUAAGCACCGGCUAACUUCGUGCCAGCAGCCGCGGUAAUACGAAGGGUGCAAGCGUUAAUCGGAAUUACUGGGCGUAAAGCGCGCGUAGGUGGUUUUGUAAGUUGGAGGUGAAAUCCCCGGGCUCAACCUGGGAACUGCCUCCAAAACUGCAUGACUAGAGUGCGGUAGAGGGUAGUGGAAUUUCCUGUGUAGCGGUGAAAUGCGUAGAUAUAGGAAGGAACACCAGUGGCGAAGGCGACUACCUGGACUGAUACUGACACUGAGGUGCGAAAGCGUGGGGAGCAAACAGGAUUAGAAACCCGGGUAGUCC